AUAAGUGCUAAAUAAUGCAUAAAUUAAUAUUUUAUUCAUAGCACUUAUCAUUAUUUUAAUUCAUAUAUUUUGUAAAUUUAACUAAAAAUUGUAUUACCUUCAUGAUUGCAUUUUAAUAAAUUAUCCAAGGUAAUUCAAGUUUAAUUUGAUUAUUUAUUGAUUAAGCUUAAAGUAUGCAGGUCGAAUCAAAUUUAUUUGGGAUGACCCCUGAACCUAAAUUGCAUGCACCCCAUGAAUUGGAUCUUCCCAACCAAUUAGAGUCGACCCCAAUUUUCAUUUUUUUCAACACAUGGCCACCCCAAGUUCACGUAUUUUCUCCCUGUUUUGUGUCCUAGCCAUAUCUAAGCUACUCUACCAUAACUCCAACUGCAAGUCAUCUCAGCCAUUCAUCACGUUUCACGAACUCAUCUCCCGCAUCUUUCUCAUCUUACUUAUCUUCCACGCGUCUUCAGCCAUUCCCAAUAUCCCCUGAUCCCAGCCUCAACCGAAUCGAGUUCAAUCCUCCGUCCACGGAUUUCUCCCAGCAUCCUCUCCCCUGAUCCGAGAGUCCCUUCUCUUUUCAGAUGAGAACCAGCAACCGUACUCUACAAGCUCUCCCCCUCGCAGAUUCAAAUCAACCUCCGGAUCCCCUGAGAAUAGAGUUUAGCCACAACUCCCUCACGUUCGUGAUCUAUCGACAGCCGCAUCCAACCGGAUCCCCGACUUUAUCUCUUCCGAACCAAUUCAGCCGAGAACACCACCCCCCAAAUCCAAACCUCCACGUCCCAAGAACAGAAUCGGUGGUCUGUUCCGCAGCUUCAUCUUUUCCCAGCCGUUCGACCCAUCUCUUAGAUUCUCCCAGCCGGGGAACAUCACGAGCAACUCCUCCUUCCCAAGCAUCACGGAAGUGUCAAUCCGUUCCCAGCUGAACGAUCACUCCCCUGUUCCUAACAGAACCAGGAUCUCCUUCACGUCGAAUCUCCCAACGUCUUCCCCCCUGUUU
rnacentral:lncRNA from 1 species